AACGCGAAGAACCUUACCUGGCCUUGACAUCCUGGGGAUCCUGCCGAGAGGUGGGAGUGCCUUCGGGAGCCCAGUGACAGGUGCUGCAUGGCUGUCGUCAGCUCGUGUCGUGAGAUGUUGGGUUAAGUCCCGCAACGAGCGCAACCCUUAUCCCUAGUUGCCAGCGGUUCUGCCGGGAACUCUAAGGAGACUGGCCCGGAAAUCGGGGAAGAAGGGGGGGAAGAACUCCAGUCCUCAUGGCCUUUAUGUCCCGGGGUACCCCCCUGCUACAAUGGGCGGGACAAAAGGUUGCCAAACCGUGAAGUGGAACCAAUCUCAUAAAAACGUCCCCAGAACAGAUUGUGUUCUGCAACUCUACUGCAUGAAAGUGGAAUCUUUAUUAAUCCCGCAUCACAACGGUGGGGUGAAUAAUUUCCCCGGCCUUGUACACACCG
rnacentral:rRNA from 1 species